UUGAGCGAGUGAAGCUGCGUGGGGCCGGUGAAUAAUUAAGAAGAAAAAAGUAAUUAAAAUGUGUUUUGCUGAAGAAUGAAGAUUGGUAGUAAGUAAGUUGCAAGCAGAGUGUCCAUCAGUGCCGGUAAGCGCCCAGCUAACAUCAUAUAUUCAUCAAAAAAGUUCAUCAAUCAUCUGAACAAAGGAAUCUCAGUACACCAUGCAUAUCACUACACACUUUUUCUACACACAUUAAUGAAAAACCACAUUAUUUCACCGGACACCACAAUCAUUCAACGUUAUUCAACGCUAUCAUUGGAAAUGUAGAUGUUGGAGCUGAGUUGUUUGCGGUUAACUCACAAUGCAGAAAGGUUCUCAUCAAUUUCCCUAUCAUUCAUGUAAUUAAACGCCUUUUACGGAGCUAAUUGAUUACGCAAGCAUCGCGACGUGUAAACGAAGCAUGUUGACUUAGGAGCGGCAGGCGCGUACGAGUAAGCAAAUAAAAGUGUUGCCGCCUGGGCGUCGCAUCGGCCUGCCCGACGCAAUGAUUAAUGAUUUACGCGAGGACACAUUGUUCCAACGACAGCACGUCCAGCCAGAAAACAUAAACAGGCACGUUGCGUAAAUUACAAGCGCAAUUAUCGCAAUUGCUCGUUUUCCAGCUUUCCGAGCGCCGCAAGCAAUUGCCUGAAUUCUGCCACACUUUCACUUGCCACUCGAAAACUAUUGUCACUAUUGCCGAAAAAUGUGAUUCAAUUGUCGGCGCGCACACAAUCACUGAUGAAUGCUGGUUGAUGGUAACCCGUAUUCGUUGGCUCGCGACGUGCUGCGACCCGCCGGCGAGUGGGCUCGAAUGCUUGGAAUUAAAAACGUGCGGCUUAAAAAAAAGUAUCAAAGCGACGACCAUGGUGUGUAAGCGAGCGGCCGAAAUCUAUGCCAUACCAUCAUGUUGCCCCGACCAGCCAACCAGCGUGCGGCACGCAUGGGCCAAGGGGUUGCCGGAGGGAUUGCCUACCUAAACUAUGCGGCCCAUUAUACGCACGCAUGGAUUGUGGACAUCCACGAGGUCGUGGUCUCAAGUUAUCUUGACGAGGAUCGCCUGUCAGCAAAAAAUGCACAUGGGGCAACCGAAAGUUGACUCGCAAUAGAGACAACAAUAGCCAAUAUGCAUAAUUGGAGUAGACGGGCUGCGACUUUUAUGAAGAUACCAAUAAAGCAAUAAAACCCUUCCUCUCGGGCGCGCUUAGAACUUUUCGGCACGCCACGAAAAUUUACAAUUUGUUUGCGCUCGUAAAGCGGCGAGUCAAA